UACAGAGGGGGCAAGCGUUAUUCGGAAUUAUUGGGCGUAAAGAGCUCGUAGGCGGUCUGUCGCGUCGGCUGUGAAAACCCGGGGCUCAACCCCGGGCCUGCAGUCGAUACGGGCAGACUAGAGUGCGGUAGGGGAGACUGGAAUUCCUGGUGUAGCGGUGAAAUGCGCAGAUAUCAGGAGGAACACCGGUGGCGAAGGCGGGUCUCUGGGCCGUAACUGACGCUGAGGAGCGAAAGCGUGGGGAGCGAACAGG
rnacentral:rRNA from 1 species